AAUUUAUCUAGCAUAUUAUUAAUAUUUAAACAAUAAAUUGUUUAACAAACACAUCCUUUCACAAACCUAGGGUUAUUUCUUAAUAGAGUGCAGUGUUAUGGUCUUGUCACCGCAAUUGAUGACCGCUUGGUAGUUUUCUAGCCAGUCCAUACCUUAGAUUACAUUGAAUCCUGAGAAGUCUAAAAGAAUGAGAUUUAUAGUUAAUUCAUUUCCUCACACCUUUACCUUAUAGUUCUUGCCUACAACAUAAGCUUCUAACAAUCGUCUAAAAAGUGUCUCUAGUAUUCAAGUUUGCCUUAAGGAUUAGGUUU
rnacentral:lncRNA from 1 species